UACGUAGGGUGCGAGCGUUGUCCGGAAUUAUUGGGCGUAAAGAGCUCGUAGGCGGUCUGUCGCGUCGGUCGUGAAAACUUGGGGCUUAACCCUGAGCUUGCGGUCGAUACGGGCAUGACUGGAGUUCGGCAGGGGAGACUGGAAUUCCUGGUGUAGCGGUGAAAUGCGCAGAUAUCAGGAGGAACACCGGUGGCGAAGGCGGCCAUCUGGACCGUAUCUGACGCUGAGGCGCGAAAGCGUGGGGAGCAAACAGG
rnacentral:rRNA from 1 species